GUUCUGUAAGAAUACUUUGCAUUUAGUUUGUUUCUUUCUCCCCCUAGUGGUCAUCUAGGAGUAAUUCAUUGUGUUCAUAUAUAAUUCUUACAUUGCUUUCAUUGGUUGAUUUUAUCACAUGAUGCAGUCAGAUCAGGAAAUACAUCAGUAGUUAUAUUCCAUGCGGUCCACUUGCAGCUCUAGUAAUCUAAUCCUGUCUUCAUUUUGUGUUUGUGCCUUGAGAAAGCAUCGCUUGUAAGUUGUAUUUGAGUUUAUAGUUAAUUACGUUGAUACAUAUGUCAUGUAAGACUUUCUGCAAUGUUCUUGAAUAUUUAUUUGUUUACACAUGAAAACUGCUAUUGUAUAGGCUUUCAGUGAAGAGGUCAUUCAAUAGUUUGUUAGUUUAGCUGUUGAGCUGCACAUACUAUAUUUACUAUAAGUUAUAAGUUUUUACAGUUAUAAGCAUAUUAGCUGAAUGUAAUAUAUGUGUUACAACUUUGUAGCUUAAAGGUGUAUUAUUUCAUGUCUGUUAAUGUAUGACAUGUUUGGAUAGCAUUCAGUGAUUGGUGUUAUCUUUCUGUAUCAUUUCAGUUUUACAAAGAUUCCUUCAUGAGAAUUAAGACAACAGUAAAGAGCCUUGAACUUUACUCCAGCCUCUGACUUUCUCUUGAAGCCUGUUAGCUAUCUGUCGAUUUGUGUACAGUCACACACACUGAGGACAGAAUAGUAAAAAAGCGACUUCACGGCGGGCAAAACAGCAAUAAGAAGAUAAAAAACUGAGCCAGGACACCUCUCAAACAUACUAAGGCCUCUUUAUACUUCCCGUCUAAUACAUCUUGGAGGAUUGUUAAACAUAAUGUCGCAUAUCAGUGAGGCUGGAGUGGGAAAAGCAUCCAUCACUGACGGCAGUGUUAAAGAUCAAGAGACGGCACGUGAAGCAAGAUCACAACAUUCCACCUUAUCAAGCACAUCUAAAGUGUCCUCAGCUAGCAGGGCCGCUGCUAAGGCCCGUGCUAAAGUUGAAGCUGCACGUGCACGUGCCACCUUUGUUCAGAGAGAAGCUGAAUUGAAGAUAAAAGAGGCACAUCUUGCAGCUGAUUUGAAGGUCAAGGAAGCACGUAUAGCCGUUGAGUUAGCAGCUUUGGAGCAAGAGAGGGAGAUUGCAGUAGCUUUGGCUGAAGCUGAAGUUUUUGAGGCAGCAGCAGAGAUCGAAGGUACUCAGGGCAGUCGGAGUCUUCAUGAGUCAGUUCAAGCCGCCAUUCAGCGCACCCGUGAAUAUGUCGAACAACACUCCCAGCUACGUCUCAGUGAUGAAAAACCCCCAGUACUUGAACCAUACACGCCAUCACUGUUGCCGCUCAUCAAACCUGAGGUCCAAUCAGACAGAAAGGAGCAUUUCCCUGGUCCCAACAGUGCUUCUCAUUUCUUACCCAAGAAUGAGGGUGCAAUUCAGGCUGCAGCACAACAGCUAGAAAGAACAACGUCCAUGGUACAUCAACUCAACACAAGGGAUGAUAACCAUAAAGCGCAGCAGCCUGAAAGGCCAACGCCAGCAGUUCAACACCACUCCUUUGAUCACCUCUUCUCUACUCGUCCAGACCCUUGCUCUGUCAGUAGAGCCUCAUUACAGUCACAUUUAGGCUAUGCAGACGACAGGGCAGGUAUGAGUGAUAUUGCGAGGUACUUGGUACGUCGAGAGCUGGUGAAUUCUGGCCUGUUCAAGUUUAAUGAUCGUCCAGAAAAUUACUGGGCGUGGAAAUCUUCAUUCUGCAACGCUAUUGGAGGACUGAACUUAAGUGCUAGCGAAGAGCUUGACCUCUUAACAAAAUGGUUAGGAAAUCAGUCUUCAGAACACGUCAUACGGAUUCGUUCUGUACAUGUUGCCAGGCCUGAUAUAGGUUUAAGAAUGGCUUGGGAUCGCCUAGAGGAGUGCUAUGGCUCCCCCGAGGUAAUUGAAAGAGCUCUCUUUGAGAGGAUAGAGAACUUUCCUAAAAUCAGUCAUAAGGACCCCAUAAAGCUCAGGGAGCUGGGAGACCUGCUAAGGGAGUUAGUGUCUGCAAAAUCUGAGGGUUACCUUCCAGGGCUCUCAUACUUGGACACCGCAAGGGGUGUCAACCCUAUCGUAGAGAAGUUGCCAAUUGGUCUGCAAGAGAGGUGGUUAGCUCAAGGCUCACAAUACAAGGAGCAACACAAUGUAUGUUUUCCUCCAUUUGCAUACUUUACAGAGUUCAUAUGCAGUGAAGCACGCCGAAGAAACGACCCAAGUUUCACUCUCUUGACAGCCCCUGUAACCCCGUUGAAUAAUUCCCACAGGUAUACUACAGGACCAUCAAAGUUUGAUCGAGUGGAAAAGAGAUCAGCAUAUGGCAAAGGCUAUGUUUCUGCUCACAAGACUGGAAUCGCGUCACUACAAACAGCUUCUCAGGCGGAUAGUUCAAGCAGCAGGCGAGGAGAAAUAGACAAACAAUGCCCGAUCCACAAGAAGCCACAUCCUCUGAAAAAGUGUAGAGGUUUUCGAAGUAAGUCACUAGAGGAACGCAAAGCUUUUCUUAAAGAAAAUGGGAUCUGUUUCAGAUGUUGCUCUUCUACUAUUCACCAGGCUAAGAACUGUGAAGUAGCUUUGAAGUGCACAGAAUGUGAGAGCGACAGCCAUAUUGCAGCACUACAUCCUGGACCCCCACCAUGGGACAGGAAAAGUCCCCCCUCAGAGCAUGGCGGGGAGGGUGAAAGAGAAACACUUCAGAUGGCAGUCACCUCUAGGUGCACGGAGGUCUGUGAUAACAGUAAGGAACCUAGAUCCUGUUCCAAGAUUUGCCUAGUGAAAGUUUAUCCUAAAGCACACCCUGACAAAGCUGUGAAAAUGUAUGUCAUUCUGGAUGAUCAGAGCAACAGGUCCUUGGCCAGGUCUGAAUUCUUUGACCUCUUUCAAAUUGAAGGGUCAAACUCACCAUACAUUCUGCGCACAUGUUCAGGGGUCACCGAAGCGUUUGGGAGAAGAGCCACAGGGUUCAUGGUGGAGUCACUGGAUGAAACAACAAGUGUGAUGCUUCCUACACUCAUUGAAUGCAAUCAUGUGCCGAAUGACCGCACAGAGAUUCCAACUCCAGCAGCUGCACAGCACCACACACACCUGAAGUCCAUAGCUCACAAGAUACCACACCUAGAUCAAGAGGCCCAGAUACUCCUUCUUCUGGGACGCGACAUCCUCCAGGUUCACAAAGUCAGAGAACAACGCAAUGGGCCACCUAGAGCACCCUACGCUCAAAGACUAGACCUUGGCUGGGUUGUUAUAGGUAACGUCUGCUUGGGCUCAGCCCAAAAGACAGAUUCUGUAAAUUCUUUUCGGACUAACGUGCUCGAAAAUGGACGUCCAUCUCUCCUUACUCCAUGUCCCAAUCAUAUUCAAGUCAAGGAGAGGUUUGGCAAUGAAGGACUACACUGCACAUCUCUUCACGGCCUUACAAACCACACCCCAGUCCUCCAUGACUGCAGCCUCGGCAGCACGAUUUUUGAGAGAACCAAGGAUGAUGACAAAGUGGGUCUCUCCAUCGAAGAUGAUCUUUUCCUGGAGCUUAUGGAUAAAGAAAUGUUUAUAGAUGAGUCUAAUAGCUGGGUGGCGCCUCUUCCAUUUCGAUCACCACGGCGACAGCUGCCAAACAAUCGAGAACAAGCUCUUAGUCGCCUUGCCUCUUUGUGCCACACAUUUAAAAGAAAGCCUGAGAUGAAAACUCACUUUGUGAACUUCAUGCAAAAGAUCUUCGAUCACGACCAGGCAGAGUUAGCUCCACCGCUGCAAGAGGGAAAGGAACGAUGGUACUUACCCAUCUUCGGUGUCUAUCACCCUCAGAAGCCGAACCAGAUUAGAGUCGUGUUUGAUUCCAGUGCUCAGCAUCAUGGGAUUUCUCUCAACGAUGUGUUACUUAAAGGCCCAGAUCUGAACAACAGCUUACUUGGAGUCUUACUACGCUUCCGCAGAGAGUCAAUAGCAGUGGUAGCAGACAUUGAGCAGAUGUUUUACAGUUUCACUGUCAGAGAAGACCAUCGAGACUUCCUUAGGUUCCUUUGGUUCAAGGACAACGAACCAGGAAAGGAGAUUGUUGAGUACAGGAUGAAAGUCCAUGUGUUCGGCAAUAGCCCGUCGCCAGCAGUAGCUAUCUAUGGUCUUCGUCGCGCGGCACAAUAUGGAGCAAGUGAGUAUGGCUCAGAGGCACAACACUUUGUGGAGCGCGACUUCUACGUCGACGAUGGCCUCAAGUCUCUACCAUCAGCUUCUAAAGCCAUAGAUCUGCUGAAAAAGGCACAAGAGAUGCUUGCAGAAUCAAACUUACGCCUCCAUAAGAUAGCGUCAAACCACUCUGGCGUUUUGGAUGCCUUUCCACUAGAAGACCACGCAAAGGGUUUGCAGAACCUGGACUUCAACGACAAUUCAUCCCUCAUUCAACGCAGCUUAGGGCUCAGCUGGGAUCUUAAACAUGAUGUUUUCACCUUCAGAGUAGCAUCUACCGAGAAGCCUUUUACCCGUAGAGGUGUUCUAGCCACCGUGAACAGUUUGUUUGAUCCUCUCGGAUUUGUGGCGCCAAUCAUUAUACAAGGGAAGUUCCUGUUACGAGAGUUUACUAGCAUUGAAGCCCUCGACUGGGAUACGCCUCUUCCACAUGAGAAGGAAACUGAAUGGAGAAUGUGGAAAGACUCCUUGCAAGACUUGAGUGAGCUCAAGAUUCCAAGAGCCUACACACCUACUACCCUUACCACCACCCAAAAGAAAGAGCUCCACAUCUUCUCAGAUGCCUCGGUGAAGGCCAUUGCCGCUGUAGCUUACCUUAAGGUGAUCAGCGAUGAUGGAGAGUGUUACGUGGGAUUUGUUUUGGGAAAGGCAAAACUGGUGCCCUUAUCUGCUCACACUAUCCCAAGGUUGGAACUGGGAGCAGCUGUGUUGGCAGUAGAAAUGGCAGAGUUGAUAGAGAGUGAGUUGGACAUCAGUGUAGACACAUUGCAGUUUUAUACAGACAGCAAGGUCGUCUUGGGGUACAUAUACAAUCAGACCAGGCGGUUUUAUGUGUACGUUUCCAACAGAAUCCAGCGAAUCAGGAAGUCCACCAAACCUGAGCAGUGGCACUACGUCUGCACCACACAGAAUCCAGCAGAUCAUGCUACACGUUCUGUACCUGCGGCUGAAUUAGCAAGCACAACCUGGCUCACAGGGCCUUCAUUUUUGUCCCUUCCUGAAGGAGAAGCCAUUUCAGGAGAGGAGUCAUAUGAGCUCAUUGAUCCAGAUGCAGACGUUGAUGUGCGUUCUCAUGCCACCACUCUCUCUACUCCAUCAUGUAGUCUGGGAUCUCAUCGUUUUGAACGGUUCUCAUCUUGGAAGUCUCUGGUACGAGCCACAGCAUUCCUGACACACAUCAUUCAGUCUCAAAGAAAUGAAGUAAAAACCAAGAAUGGCAGCUGUAGUGGUUGGCAUCUGUGCAGAAAACCUCACACGGCAGAAGAACUGUCUAAGGCAGAAACUCUUAUUGUCAAGUGUGUGCAAAGGGAAACUUACAGCAAAGAGUUCUCCUGCUUGGUUGCUGGGAAAGAUAUCUCAAAAGAUAGUUCACUGAGAAAGCUUAACCCCUAUGUGGACGAAGAGGGUCUUCUGAGAAUAGGAGGCAGGCUCAACCAUGCGUUACUCGACACUAAAGAAAAGUUCCCUCUCAUCAUUCCAGGCCGCAGCCACAUUGCAACAUUGCUUGUGCGCCAUUACCAUGACAAGGUUAAGCACCAAGGUCGUGUUUUUACAGAAGGCUCUAUCCGCGAAGCUGGAUUUUGGAUCAUUGGAGCUAAGAAAUGUAUCAGCAGUAUCCUUCACAAAUGUGUGACAUGUAACAAACUUCGGGGGAAAAGCGCUGAACAAAAGAUGGCAGACCUACCUUCAGAUCGUCUGAGUACAGAGCCCCCUUUCACCUACGUGGGUCUUGACGUUUUUGGCCCUUGGGCUGUCACCACAAGACGAACCCGCGGUAGUCAGGCUAACAGCAAAAGGUGGGCUGUACUUUUCACCUGCAUGAGCACACGGGCCGUGCACAUAGAGCUGAUAGAGGCGAUGGACACAUCAAGCUUUAUCAAUGCAUUGCGCCGAUUCUUUGCUUUGCGGGGACCUGCCAAGCAAAUCCGUUCAGACUGUGGAACCAACUUUACAGGUGCCUGCAAGGAGCUGCACAUACUCCUUACCGAUCCCAAAGAGCCCAAUGUGAGGAGGUACUUGGGUGAAGAGGGUUGCUCUUGGGUGUUUAACUCUCCGCAUUCCUCCCACAUGGGAGGAGCUUGGGAGCGAAUGAUUGGUUUCGCCAGACGGAUACUCAACUCCAUGCUUAUGCAAACCAACCCUUCAUGCCUCACUCAUGAGGUGUUGUCUACUUUAAUGGCAGAGAUCACAGCAAUUAUUAAUGCUAGGCCACUUGCACCUAUUUCUUCAGACCCGGAGUCACCCUUUCUUCUUACUCCUGCUACACUUCUGACUCAGAAGAUGUCUACUUACCCUCCUCCUCCGGGAACCUUUGACAGCACAGAUCUUCAUCGCCAGCAGUGGAGACGGGUGCAGCAUCUGGCCAACACAUUUUGGAGCAGAUGGAGACGUGAGUACCUUCCUACGCUGCAAAGCCGAAGCAAGUGGCAGGAUGUACGACCAAACAUUGAGAAAGGUGACCUGGUUCUGCUUAAGGAUAACCAGGAGAAAAGGAAUGAAUGGCCCAUGGCUCUGGUUACAAGGACAUUCCCUGACGAAGAUGGGAAGGUCAGGAAGAUUGAACUCAAGGUCACAAGAUCUGGGUCAGCAAGGACCUUCUUGAGACCUGUUUCUGAGACGAUCCUUCUCAAGAGUGCUGAGGAAUUAAACUGAUUUAGUUUUCCCUUUUUUAUUCAGACUUAAUAAGGUUAUUCAGAGAGUGGUAUUUAAUUAAUACCAGGCGGGGAGUGUCAUGUUCUGUAAGAAUACUUUGCAUUUAGUUUGUUUCUUUCUCCCCCUAGUGGUCAUCUAGGAGUAAUUCAUUGUGUUCAUAUAUAAUUCUUACAUUGCUUUCAUUGGUUGAUUUUAUCACAUGAUGCAGUCAGAUCAGGAAAUACAUCAGUAGUUAUAUUCCAUGCGGUCCACUUGCAGCUCUAGUAAUCUAAUCCUGUCUUCAUUUUGUGUUUGUGCCUUGAGAAAGCAUCGCUUUUUUACAAAGAUUCCUUCAUGAGAAUUAAGACAACAGUAAAGAGCCUUGAACUUUACUCCAGCCUCUGACUUUCUCUUGAAGCCUGUUAGCUAUCUGUCGAUUUGUGUACAGUCACACACACUGAGGACAGA